rnacentral:rRNA from 1 species
AGUGAACGCUGGCGGUAGGCCUAACACAUGCAAGUCGAACGGCAGCACAGUAAGAGCUUGCUCUUACGGGUGGCGAGUGGCGGACGGGUGAGGAAUACAUCGGAAUCUACUUUUUCGUGGGGGAUAACGUAGGGAAACUUACGCUAAUACCGCAUACGACCUACGGGUGAAAGCAGGGGAUCUUCGGACCUUGCGCGAUUGAAUGAGCCGAUGUCGGAUUAGCUAGUUGGCGGGGUAAAGGCCCACCAAGGCGACGAUCCGUAGCUGGUCUGAGAGGAUGAUCAGCCACACUGGAACUGAGACACGGUCCAGACUCCUACGGGAGGCAGCAGUGGGGAAUAUUGGACAAUGGGCGCAAGCCUGAUCCAGCUAUACCGCGUGGGUGAAGAAGGCCUUCGGGUUGUAAAGCCCUUUUGUUGGGAAAGAAAAGCAGCAGGUUAAUACCCCGCUGUCCUGACGGUACCCAAAGAAUAAGCACCGGCUAACUUCGUG